rnacentral:rRNA from 1 species
GCUCAGAAUGAACGCUGGCGGCAUGCCUAACACAUGCAAGUCGAACGAAUGCCCUUCGGGGUGUUAGUGGCGCACGGGUGCGUAACGCGUGGGAAUCUGCCCUUGGGUUCGGAAUAACAGUUGGAAACGACUGCUAAUACCGGAUGAUGACGUAAGUCCAAAGAUUUAUCGCCCAGGGAUGAGCCCGCGUAGGAUUAGGUAGUUGGUGUGGUAAAGGCGCACCAAGCCGACGAUCCUUAGCUGGUCUGAGAGGAUGAUCAGCCACACUGGGACUGAGACACGGCCCAGACUCCUACGGGAGGCAGCAGUGGGGAAUAUUGGACAAUGGGCGAAAGCCUGAUCCAGCAAUGCCGCGUGAGUGAUGAAGGCCUUAGGGUUGUAAAGCUCUUUUACCCGGGAUGAUAAUGAC